rnacentral:tRNA from 1 species
AAGAUUUUAAGUUAAUUAAACUAUUAACCUUCAAAGUUAAUUAUAUCAAUAUUUCAUUUAUUUGUUAAGUCUUA